GACCCCGGCCCGGGGGAGCAGGCGCAGCGGCUGCGCAGGAGCAAGCUGGCAUGUGGCAGCCUGCGGAUGUUGGGAGGCCACACGGCAAGGAACUGCAGCAUCUCUAGGAGCUGAGGGUGGACCCUGACUGGCAGCCAACAACAAACUGAAGCUCUCAAGCCUACCACCAUAAGGAAUUGAAUUCUGCCAAUAACCUGAGUGAGCAUGGAAGCAGAUCCUUUCCCAGCCAAGCCUCAGACAAGGUUCUGGCCCUGGGAAACACCUUGACUGAAGUCUUGUGAGACCAUAGGAAGAAGACUUAGCUGAGCCAGUCUCAGAUCCUGACCCAUAGAACCUGUUAGAUACUUAGCAUGUGUUGUUUUCAGCCUCUGUGUUUGUGGUAAUUUAUUAUACAAUACAUACUGUUCCCCACCCUAAUACUUGAAACUCCUGACCCCAAUCCCU
rnacentral:lncRNA from 1 species